rnacentral:lncRNA from 1 species
GAGUUAUAAAGAAAGCUUUUUACCCUGAUGAUCUCAGAUGUUGUAGAUGGAGUUAAUCCAUCAUUCUCUAGUUUAGACAAGUGCUACUAGUCCCACCGUCAGGAAAGAGGCAGCUGUUGCUUAUUACUAUUAUGAGGACAGCAGAUGAUCCCCAUUUUUGUGAGGGUUUUUUUUUCUACUAUAAAAACAGAACUUUCUGGUGUCUGGGAUGCUGACCCUGGACUUGAGGUGCUGUGAUGGCUGUGUGGACAGAAGGGAGGCCAAGAGACCCAGAGCUAUCACUAACACAGAACUUCCAGGAAUUUGUUUGCAGAGAAUUUACAUACUAUCAAGGCGCACAUUUCUUCUCCUAAAGGGAAAGAAGAGGAAGGAGAAUUCAAAUGUGCCUUGUUAUAAAGUGGGGGAAUUAAAAAGGAAAGGUAUCACAAAGGAUGAGUGAAAACUGGAAGACAUUAACAAAUUUAAGAAUAAACAGAACUUUGGCAAUAAUUAUUUUCUUGCC